AUGAACGCUGGCGGCGUGCCUAAUACAUGCAAGUCGAGCGAACGUACGAGAAGCUUGCUUCUCUGAUGUUAGCGGCGGACGGGUGAGUAACACGUGGAUAACCUACCUAUAAGACUGGGAUAACUUCGGGAAACCGGAGCUAAUACCGGAUGAUAUUUUGAACCGCAUGGUUCAAAAGUGAAAGACGGUCUUGCUGUCACUUAUAGAUGGAUCCGCGCUGCAUUAGCUAGUUGGUAAGGUAACGGCUUACCAAGGCAACGAUGCAUAGCCGACCUGAGAGGGUGAUCGGCCACACUGGAACUGAGACACGGUCCAGACUCCUACGGGAGGCAGCAGUAGGGAAUCUUCCGCAAUGGGCGAAAGCCUGACGGAGCAACGCCGCGUGAGUGAUGAAGGUCUUCGGAUCGUAAAACUCUGUUAUUAGGGAAGAACAUAUGUGUAAGUAACUGUGCACAUCUUGACGGUACCUAAUCAGAAAGCCACGGCUAACUACGUG
rnacentral:rRNA from 1 species